rfam:Rathayibacter sp. Leaf296 contig_1, whole genome shotgun sequence.
CGCAGUGACACGGGGUGCCCGCCAGGGCUGAGAGAAGACCCGUUGAACCUGAUCUAGUUCGUACUAGCGAAGGGAUGUCGCGAAUGAGCAUU